CUGAAGUCAACUGAGACUACCCGCUGAACUUAAGCAUAUCAAUAAGCGGA
rnacentral:rRNA from 1 species